GACAGAGGGGGCAAGCGUUGCUCGGAAUUACUGGGCGUAAAGGGCGCGUAGGCGGGAUGGUAAGUCGGUCGUGAAAUCCCUCGGCUCAACCGAGGAACGUCGAUCGAUACUACCGUUCUUGAGGAUUGCAGAGGAGACUGGAAUUCCCGGUGUAGCGGUGAAAUGCGCAGAUAUCAGGAGGAACACCGGUGGCGAAGGCGGGUCUCUGGGCCGAUACUGACGCU
rnacentral:rRNA from 1 species